CUGUGCAAAGGUAGCAUAAUCAUUAGCUUUUUAAUUGGGGGCUUGUAUGAAUGGUUUGACAAAGGAGAAGCUGUCUUUAUUUUUAUUAUUGAAUUUAACUUUUAAGUGAAAAGGCUUAAAUAAAUUUAAGGGACGAUAAGACCCUAUAAAUCUUUAUAUUAAAUUGUAAUUUUAUAGUUUAAUGGGUUUGUCUAGAGUGUGAGUGUGUCAAUAGAUAUUUUGUUGGGGUGAUGAGAAUACAAAAUUAACUGUUCUUUUAUAAAACAAAGUUGUUUGUAAAAAGUUAAUAGAUCCUUUUUAAAGAUCAAAAGUUUAAGUUACUUUAGGGAUAACAGCGUUAUUUUUUUUGAGAGUUCUUAUCGAAAAAAGAGUUUGCGACCUCGAUGUUGAAUUAAAAUUUCUCUGUGGUGAAGAAGUUACGGGAAGAAAGUCUGUUCGACUUUUGAAGUUUU
rnacentral:rRNA from 1 species